rnacentral:rRNA from 1 species
GGGCAGUGCGGCGGUGCUAUACAUGCAGUCGAGCGAAUGGAUUGAGAGCUUGCUCUCAAGAAGUUAGCGGCGGACGGGUGAGUAACACGUGGGUAACCUGCCCAUAAGACUGGGAUAACUCCGGGAAACCGGGGCUAAUACCGGAUAAUAUUUUGAACUGCAUGGUUCGAAAUUGAAAGGCGGCUUCGGCUGUCACUUAUGGAUGGACCCGCGUCGCAUUAGCUAGUUGGUGAGGUAACGGCUCACCAAGGCAACGAUGCGUAGCCGACCUGAGAGGGUGAUCGGCCACACUGGGACUGAGACACGGCCCAGACUCCUACGGGAGGCAGCAGUAGGGAAUCUUCCGCAAUGGACGAAAGUCUGACGGAGCAACGCCGCGUGAGUGAUGAAGGCUUUCGGG